rnacentral:rRNA from 1 species
AGAACGACUCUCGGCAACGGAUAUCUCGGCUCUCGCAUCGAUGAAGAACGUAGCGAAAUGCGAUACUUGGUGUGAAUUGCAGAAUCCCGUGAACCAUCGAGUCUUUGAACGCAAGUUGCGCCCCAAGCCAUCCGGUCGAGGGCACGUCUGCCUGGGCGUCACACGC